CGCUAAUUGCAGAACCUUGUGGGCAGUC
rnacentral:piRNA from 1 species